AGUGCCUUCCUCAGAAAGCUGCUGAAGACAAGGGUUGCAGGAUGUUUGUGCUGGUGAUGAUCUGUCUGUUCUGCCAGUAUUGGGGUAAGUCCUGGUGAUAAUGAUAAAGCUGAUGGUUACUUAAGAAGUGGCCAGAUGCUGGGGAAGGAGGGUUUCCAAACUGGCUGUUGGGGAUGUGGAAGUCUAUGAGAUUGUAACAAAGGAGAUUGCUUUUUUUUUUCCUCUUCACAGGUGUCCUUAAUGAGAAUGAAGAAGGUAUGAGCAUAGCUGGCAUAAAGUCUUUGGGAAACAGUUCAUUUGUGACACAUUCAGAGUAAACCUCCCUUCCAUUUACUGCAGAAUCCUGAGAUUCCAGUGAUCUCCUGGCUUAUUUACUCUAUGGCUAUUAAUAAGGAGUUGUAAUUACCUUUGUUUCCUUUUACUUAUUAUAAAUACCCAUGGCAACAUAUUCAGUCUAUACAAGGUGCUUAUAAUGUGAAUUCUAUGGGUAAAUUCUACUGGAACUCGGACCUCCUUAAAUGGUAUACAUUUGGUUUGUGUCUAUAAGCAUCUUUGUCACAAUCCCAGCACCUGGGAGACAAAGGCAGGUGGAUCUCUUUAAGUUCCAGCCCAGCCAGGGCUACAUAGAGAAAUCUUAUCACAAAACAAAACAAAACAAAAUGAAACGAAACAAAACAAAACAGUAACAAAACCCAGUAAGAAAACAUUUCUCUCUCAAGAUUAUUAUAGGAUCUCUAUUCUGGGAAGGUUACAACCCAUGGAUCAAUAGUAACUUCCUACAGAGAGGGCUCUAAUUGCAUAAGUUUUCUGCAGACCACAUCCACUAAGUACUUCUUUCUAAAUCUAGAAGAUCGUGGACUACUGUGUUAUAAAUGUAAUAGAUAUCAUCUUGGAUUAUGCUAUGGAAUCAUGACAUCCUGCACACUGAAGCAUAAACAGUCCUGUGCUGCUGAGAACUUUUACAUACUCACAAAAAAAGGGCAGAGCAUGUAUCAUUAUUCAAGACUGUCUUGUAUGACCAACUGUGAGGACAUCAACUUCCUGAGUUUUGAAAGGAGGACAGAGCUCAUUUGUUGUAAACACAGUAACUAUUGCAACCUCCCAAUGGGACUCUAGUUCUGAAUUUAUUAUGGAUUUGGUAUCACUCUUCAACUUACUACCAACUCUCUUUCCCCCAAAGUUUGUAUUUAUUCUCCCUUCCUAACUUACUAUAAAUGGGAAAAUCAUUUGUCAGUGAAAAGAGAAGCAGUUAUAUGAGAAACUGGCUGAGAACUCAGCCUCAUUGAUAAGGAAAUCUUUGCAAAUUCUUUUUGUCAUAUCUAGCGGGGCAUUUUUGAUCUGUGGGCAAUGCUGCCCAUCAUGAGUAGGCCUAGAAUUAAUCAUCUCAUAUACCAACCCACAAGGUUUUGGCUCAAAAUGACAUCCCAACUUUGUACAGAGAAAUCUGUAAAUAUACUGUGCUGGUCUGC